GAUGAAGAACGCAGCGAAAUGCGAUAAGUAAUGUGAAUUGCAGAAUUCAGUGAAUCAUCGAAUCUUUGAACGCAUCUUGCGCUCCUUGGUAUUCUGAGGAGCAUGCCUGUUUGAGUGUCAUUAAAUUCUCAACUACACUGACUUUGAAUUGGUGUGGCUUGGAUUUGGGGGGAAAAUUGUUGUGGGCUUUUUGUAUAGUCUGCUCCCCUGAAAUUGAUUAGCGGUACCUUUGUGGAACUGUCUACAGGUGUGAUAAUUAUCUACAUCUUAGACAUCUGCUGGAAUGCUGCUUUCUAAACCUUACUUGUAUUGACAAUCUUGACCUCAAAUCAGGUAGGACUACCCGCUGAACUUAAGCAUAUCAAUAAGCGGAGG
rnacentral:misc_RNA from 1 species